rnacentral:rRNA from 1 species
UACGUAGGGGGCUAGCGUUGUCCGGAAUCAUUGGGCGUAAAGAGCGCGUAGGCGGCUAGAUAAGUCCGGUGUGAAAGUCACAGGCUCAACCUGUGAAUGCCGCUGGAGACUGUCUGGCUAGAGUCCGGAAGGGGCGAGUGGAAUUCCUGGUGUAGCGGUGAAAUGCGCAGAUAUCAGGAGGAACACCAAUGGCGAAGGCAGCUCGCUGGGACGUGACUGACGCUGAGACGCGAAAGCGUGGGGAGCAAACAGG